rnacentral:rRNA from 1 species
GAUGAACGCUGGCGGCGUGCCUAAUACAUGCAAGUCGAGCGAACGGACGAGAAGCUUGCUUCUCUGAUGUUAGCGGCGGACGGGUGAGUAACACGUGGAUAACCUACCUAUAAGACUGGGAUAACUUCGGGAAACCGGAGCUAAUACCGGAUAAUAUUUUGAACCGCAUGGUUCAAAAGUGAAAGACGGUCUUGCUGUCACUUAUAGAUGGAUCCGCGCUGCAUUAGCUAGUUGGUAAGGUAACGGCUUACCAAGGCAACGAUGCAUAGCCGACCUGAGAGGGUGAUCGGCCGCACUGGAACUGAGACACGGUCCAGACUCCUACGGGAGGCAGCAGUAGGGAAUCUUCCGCAAUGGGCGAAAGCCUGACGGAGCAACGCCGCGUGAGUGAUGAAGGUCUUCGGAUCGUAAAACUCUGUUAUUAGGGAAGAACAUAUGUGUAAGUAACUGUGCACAUCUUGACGGUACCUAAUCAGAAAGCCACGGCUAACUACGUGCCAGCAGCCGCGGUAAUACGUAGGUGGCAAGCGUUAUCCGGAAUUAUUGGGCGUAAAGCGCGCGUAGGCGGUUUUUUAAGUCUGAAGUGAAAGCCCACGGCUCAACCGUGGAGGGUCAUUGGAAACUGGAAAACUUGAGUGCAGAAGAGGAAAGUGGAAUUCCAUGUGUAGCGGUGAAAUGCGCAGAGAUAUGGAGGAACACCAGUGGCGAAGGCGACUUUCUGGUCUGUAACUGACGCUGAUGUGCGAAAGCGUGGGGAUCAAACAGGAUUAGAUACCCUGGUAGUCCACGCCGUAAACGAUGAGUGCUAAGUGUUAGGGGGUUUCCGCCCCUUAGUGCUGCAGCUAACGCAUUAAGCACUCCGCCUGGGGAGUACGACCGCAAGGUUGAAACUCAAAGGAAUUGACGGGGACCCGCACAAGCGGUGGAGCAUGUGGUUUAAUUCGAAGCAACGCGAAGAACCUUACCAAAUCUUGACAUCCUUUGACAACUCUAGAGAUAGAGCUUUCCCCUUCGGGGGACAAAGUGACAGGUGGUGCAUGGUUGUCGUCAGCUCGUGUCGUGAGAUGUUGGGUUAAGUCCCGCAACGAGCGCAACCCUUAAGCUUAGUUGCCAUCAUUAAGUUGGGCACUCUAAGUUGACUGCCGGUGACAAACCGGAGGAAGGUGGGGAUGACGUCAAAUCAUCAUGCCCCUUACGAUUUGGGCUACACACGUGCUACAAUGGACAAUACAAAGGGCAGCGAAACCGCGAGGUCAAGCAAAUCCCAUAAAGUUGUUCUCAGUUCGGAUUGCAGUCUGCAACUCGACUACAUGAAGCUGGAAUCGCUAGUAAUCGUAGAUCAGCAUGCUACGGUGAAUACGUUCCCGGGUCU